rnacentral:tRNA from 1 species
CAAACGGUAGUUUAAUUUAAAACGAAGGCAUUGGAAGCCUUUAAUCUUCUUUUUGAAGUUGUUUGA